AGAGUUUGAUCAUGGCUCAGAACGAACGCUGGCGGCAUGCCUAACACAUGCAAGUCGAACGAGACCUUCGGGGUCUAGUGGCGCACGGGUGCGUAACGCGUGGGAAUCUGCCCUGGGGUGCGGAAUAACUCGGAGAAAUCCCGUGCUAAUACCGCAUAAUGUCUUCGGACCAAAGAUUUAUCGCCCUGGGAUGAGCCCGCGUAGGAUUAGCUAGUUGGUGGGGUAAAGGCCUACCAAGGCGACGAUCCUUAGCUGGUCUGAGAGGAUGAUCAGCCACACUGGGACUGAGACACGGCCCAGACUCCUACGGGAGGCAGCAGUGGGGAAUAUUGGACAAUGGGCGAAAGCCUGAUCCAGCAAUGCCGCGUGAGUGAUGAAGGCCCUAGGGUUGUAAAGCUCUUUUACCCGGGAUGAUAAUGACAGUACCGGGAGAAUAAGCUCCGGCUAACUCCGUG
rnacentral:rRNA from 1 species